GGAGACGGCAGCCUUUGGAGGCAGGGAGACGGCAGCCUUUGGAGGCAGGAAGACGGCAGCCUUUGGAGGCAGGGAGACGGCAGCCUUUGGAGGCAGGGAGACGGCAGCCUUUAGAGGCAGGGAGACGGCAGCCUUUGGAGGUAGACAGGGAGACGGCAGUCUUUGGAGGCAGGGAGAUGGCAGCCUUUGGAGGCAGGAAGACGGCAGCCUUUGGAGGCAGGGAGACGGCAGCCUUUGGAGGCAGGGAGACGGCAGCCUUUGGAGGCAGGGAGACGGCAGCCUUUAGAGGCAGGGAGACAGCACUGAGCACGAACUCGUGAUGCUCGAAGCCGAAGCGAGCUGCUCAGACCACUGCGCUAUGGCAGUUCACAAUGCUCUAGCAAGCCCUGACAAUACUUGAUGGUCUGAGGUCGGUUGAUUUGCAGAGUCUUCCCCCAACCACAGCCCCCUAGGUACGGUACUGCAUUGUAUAGCCUGCAACCACCGCUUCCAGCUUCCCCCUGGGUACGGUACUGCAUUGUAUAGCCUGCAACCACUGCUUCCAGCUUCCCCCUGGGUACGGUACUGCAUUGUAUAGCCUGCAACCACCCCUUCUAGCUUCCCC
ensembl:lncRNA